UUUUAUUUGACCAAUAUCAAUGCAAUUAUUGUGUAAUGCUGAAAUCAAGCAUAAAUAUCUCAAACACACUUCAUUCUUAGGAGAGCUAAAGAAGUGAAUCAGAACAUCCUUGGCAAGAUGUUUUCAGUAACCACACUUCUGUUUAUCUGUGGAAUUCUCUUCGGUCUUUCCCAAUGCAAUCCAAAAGAAAACAGGGAAUGGGAAAAGUUUAAAGCAAAGCAUGUCACCUCUCCAAAUGAUGAUGAUUUCAACUGCACCAGAACCAUGAACGAUCCUAGAUAUACACCAGAUGGGCAGUGCAAGUUGAAGAAUACCUUCAUCCAUUCGAACACUGGACCAGUCAAGGAGAUCUGCAGAAGGGCCACUGGUAGAGUAAAUAAAAGCAGUAGCCAAAAAUUUCCAUUAACUACUUGCAAUAAAAUCAUCAGGUGCGAAUAUUCUGAAAGCUUUGAAACUAAUUACAUAUGUAUCACCUGCAGAGAUACAUAUCCUGUUCACUUUGUUAAAAUAGGAAAGUGCUAAUAAUGAAAAGAUUUUAUUUUUUCCUUCUGCUUUACUGCAUCCUAUGCCUUUAUACCUUUAUAAAAGUAUGACAGUCAUUUUUCCUACUAAUGCCCGCCUCUUAAAUCCUAUAAGCUCAUAAAGUUAGGCAUUCAGUUUGACUGCCAUUUUACCUUAUGCACCGAAUGUGUCUCAUUACAUGACAAUCUGUACAAUAAAGUAGCUUUACUCUCUUUCA